rnacentral:misc_RNA from 1 species
GAAAUGCGAUAAGUAAUGUGAAUUGCAGAAUUCCGUGAAUCAUCGAAUCUUUGAACGCACAUUGCGCCCUCUGGUAUUCCGGGGGGCAUGCCUGUCCGAGCGUCAUUGCGAACCCCUCAAGCACGGCUUGUGUGAUGGGCCCUCCCGCGUCUUGGUCGUCAAGACGGGCCCGAAAUGCAGUGGCGGCUUCGCGGUUAUCCGAUCAGCCAGAGCGUAUGGGGACUUUCUCUCUGUCACACGCCCGCGGCGCGGACCGACGCCUGUCGACCUUUAUUCAUCUUUUUUCUCGGUUGACCUCGGAUCAGGUAGGGAUACCCGCUGAACUUAAGC